UUGCUGUGGAGGGUGCCGGGUAGUUGACAUGGGGUAGGGGUAGUGAGGUGGAAAGCAUGGCCAGCCGUAGAGAAAUGCUUAUUGAAAUUCUCAAUUAUAGUGGAUUUGUCGGUUGCAACAGUGUUACCUAGCCUCAGAGCAGUGGGUAGCUGGGAGGAGGUGCUCUUGUUCUCCAUGGACUUUACAGUGUCCCAGAACUUUUUUGAGUUUGUACUGCAGGAUGCACAUUUCUGUUUAAAAAAGCUAGCCUUAGCUUUCCUAACUGCCUGUGUAUAUUGGUUCCUAACCUCCCUGAAAAGUUGCAUAUCACGGGGGCUAUUCGAUGCUAAUGCAGAACGCCACAGGAUGUUUUUGUGCUGGUCAAGGGCAGACAGGUCUGGAGUGAACCAUAUAUCCUCCAAACAUCAUAUUUUCUCUGGCACUAUCACUUAAUUGUCACACUAAAACAAACACACUGUGAUUAUUUCAGUAAACUACAGCCACAGGUCUGAGUCUCUUAAUGUCUACAGAUUAAACUACAUCCACAGGUCUGAGUCUCUUAAUGUCUACAGAGUAAACUACAUCCACAGGUCUGAGUCUCUUAACAUCUACAGAUUAAACUACAUCCACAGGUCUGAGUCUCUUAACGUCUACAGAUUAACCUACAUCCACAGGUCUGAGUCUCUUAAUGUCUACAGAUUAACCUACAUCCACAGGUCUGAGUCUCUUAAUGUCUACAGAUUAAACUACAGCCACAGGUCUGAGUCUCUUAAUGUCUACAGAUUAACCUACAGCCACAGGUCUGAGUCUCUUAAUGUCUACAGAUUAAACUACAUCCACAGGUCUGAGUCUCUUAACAUCUACAGAGUAAACUACAGCCACAGGUCUGAGUCUCUUAACGUCUACAGAUUAAACUACAGCCACAGGUCUGAGUCUCUUAACAUCUACAGAUUAAACUACAUCCACAGGUCUGAGUCUCUUAACAUCUACAGAUUAAACUACAGCCACAGGUCUGAGUCUCUUAAUGUCUACAGAUUAAUCUACAUCCACAGGUCUGAGUCUCUUAACGUCUACAGAUUAAACUACAUCCACAGGUCUGAGUCUCUUAAUGUCUACAGAUUAAUCUACAUCCACAGGUCUGAGUCUCUUAACAUCUACAGAUUAAACUACAGCCACAGGUCUGAGUCUCUUAACGUCUACAGAUUAAACUACAUCCACAGGUCUGAGUCUCUUAACAUCUACAGAUUAAACUACAGCCACAGGUCUGAGUCUCUUAACGUCUACAGAUUAAACUACAUCCACAGGUCUGAGUCUCUUAAUGUCUACAGAUUAAACUACAUCCACAGGUCUGAGUCUCUUAAUGUCUACAGAUUAACCUACAUCCACAGGUCUGAGUCUCUUAAUGUCUACAGAGUAAACUACAGCCACAGGUCUGAGUCUCUUAACAUCUACAGAUUAAACUACAUCCACAGGUCUGAGUCUCUUAACAUCUACAGAUUAAACUACAGCCACAGGUCUGAGUCUCUUAAUGUCUACAGAUUAACCUACAUCCACAGGUCUGAGUCUCUUAACGUCUACAGAUUAAACUACAGCCACAGGUCUGAGUCUCUUAAUGUCUACAGAUUAAUCUACAUCCACAGGUCUGAGUCUCUUAACAUCUACAGAUUAAACUACAUCCACAGGUCUGAGUCUCUUAAUGUCUACAGAGUAAACUACAGCCACAGGUCUGAGUCUCUUAAUGUCUACAGAUUAAUCUACAUCCACAGGUCUGAGUCUCUUAACAUCUACAGAUUAAACUACAUCCACAGGUCUGAGUCUCUUAAUGUCUACAGAUUAAUCUACAUCCACAGGUCUGAGUCUCUUAACAUCUACAGAUUAAACUACAGCCACAGGUCUGAGUCUCUUAAUGUCUACAGAUUAAACUACAGCCACAGGUCUGAGUCUCUUAAUGUCUACAGAGUAAACUACAUCCACAGGUCUGAGUCUCUUAACAUCUACAGAUUAAACUACAUCCACAGGUCUGAGUCUCUUAAUGUCUACAGAGUAAACUACAGCCACAGGUCUGAGUCUCUUAACGUCUACAGAUUAAACUACAGCCACAGGUCUGAGUCUCUUAAUGUCUACAGAUUAAUCUACAUCCACAGGUCUGAGUCUCUUAACGUCUACAGAUUAAACUACAUCCACAGGUCUGAGUCUCUUAAUGUCUACAGAUUAAUCUACAUCCACAGGUCUGAGUCUCUUAAUGUCUACAGAUUAACCUACAUCCACAGGUCUGAGUCUCUUAACGUCUACAGAUUAAACUACAUCCACAGGUCUGAUAUUAUAUUUUUUCCAUGGAAAAAAUGAAAACACGAAGCAGACCUUUUCUUUGGUCCUUUACAAACGUGCUGUAUGUAAAAUAUUGUGUGUAAUAGCUUGGAAAAUAACCUAUCUGGGCUAGGGGGCAGUAGUAAACAAGAAAACAAACUAAUGUGACUGGAUGACAACAUAAUGAUGUUUUGUUUCCAACAUCAGAGCUGUUUUCCUAAAGAAGUUAAAUCUGCUUUGUGUUUUGUUUCCUUGCCACGAUACUAAUGUGUAUCGCGAUAUACAGCAGAGCACCCACAAUACCUGUCUGUUGUCUCACUAAAACACAGACACAGGAGAGAGUUCUGUCU
rnacentral:lncRNA from 1 species